UUUAUCAGAUUACUCCCCGUAAUUACACUGAUGCCAGUGUAGAGCUCACAAUUCUUCUUAAACAUACAUAUCAUAGUAAAAUUACCAAAUUUAAAGUUAAAAUGGUUUCGAAGUUAUAUUUUUUUGUGUGUAACAGCAUGCUCCUCCCUAAUCUAGGUGCCCCAAUAAAAUAUGUGUUAGAAGUGUUGUCGAUUAUGGCCUAUAUUUAUAUUUGUGUUAUAUAGGGAGAUUUUUUUUAAAUAAUUUUUUUACCAUCUUAUCCUAAUUUAUGACUUUUUAUUUCAAAUUUAACCCAGAUCCUACUUGAUGCAUGCCUUUUAUUUUUUAAUUAUAAAAUCUUUUAUCCUAAUUUUUAUAAUUUUUUAAAUUUAUUUUAUUUUAAAAAUUUGCCUUAUUUAUGUUUAAUAUAUUUUCAUUUUUAAAUUCAUUAUUUAGUUGAUCUUCCGGAUUGUGAGAAGGAAAUUGAAACUGACGAUAUUCGAGAAUAUAUUCUCAUUAAAAACGCUCUUAACUCAAUCUAUUUAAGUUCAAGUAAAUCCCAAAAUAUCGAUGUUAGUAAAGUUUGGAUUAAACUUUCUUAUGCCAAAUCUAUAAUUGAACUUUCAUGCAAGAAUGAUACUAUUUUCAAUGGAAUUGAGGCGAAAAGAUUAGUUGAAGUAUUAUCUACAAAUAUAGCUGUUGCUAAGAAAAAUAAAUGCAAACGAAAUUCUACGAAUUUAGAAAAAUCACGAGGCCAAGGAUAGGGUAGAUGGGACAUAUGCCUAAACUCUAGACUGUAUUAAUGUCUCAUUGCCGUACAACUCUCGCUUCAGUUAGCGAAU